rnacentral:lncRNA from 1 species
AAAGUCCCAAGCAGGAGUGGGGCAUCUGGUAAACCGGAGCAAGUUAUUUGACCGGUUGAGAUAACUCAUACUGUUGAGUUCGAAUCAGUGCACUUAUGGAGUGCUGUCCGGUAAAAGGCUUAUUGUGAGCGGAUAAGAGGAAUCGAGGUCGAUCCUGCGAAAAAAAAAAAGAGCAAUACAAGAGAGGCCUGAACCGAAAACGAAAAAGGAAAAAGAGAUCAAACGGUCAGGUGGAAUAAU